rnacentral:rRNA from 1 species
AUUGAACGCUGGCGGCAUGCUUUACACAUGCAAGUCGAACGGCAGCACGGACUUCGGUCUGGUGGCGAGUGGCGAACGGGUGAGUAAUACAUCGGAACGUACCCAGUAAUGGGGGAUAACUAUCCGAAAGGAUAGCUAAUACCGCAUACGCCCUACGGGGGAAAGAGGGGGAUCGCAAGACCUCUUGUUAUUGGAGCGGCCGAUGGCUGAUUAGCUAGUUGGUAGGGUAAAGGCCUACCAAGGCAACGAUCAGGAGCGGGUCUUAGAGGACGAUCCGCCACACUGGAACUGAGACACGGUCCAGACUCCUACGGGAGGCAGGAGUGGGGAAUCGUGGACAAUGGGCGCAAGCCUGAUCCAGCAAUGCCGCGUGCGUGAAGAAGGCCUUCGGGUUGUAAAGCGCUUUUGUCAGGGAGCAAAUCCUUGUGGCUAAUACCCACCGGGGAUGAGAGUACCUGAAGAAUAAGGACCGGCUAACUACGUGCCAGCAGCCGCCGCGGUAA